rnacentral:misc_RNA from 1 species
AAUUCUCAACUUCAAAAGUUUUUAUUAACUUAUUGAAGCUUGGAUGUGGGGGUUGCUGGCGUCUUAGAUGUUCGGCUCCUCUUAAAUGCAUUAGUGGAACCCAUUUUGUUGGGCCACCUUGGUGUGAUAAUUAUCUACGCUUUGGUUGGCUUGACUCUCAGGUAAAGCUCUUAAUUGAGCUUAUCCUGGUUGGGAUACUGCAUUAGCUUGCUGUAUCUGAAAGGGACUUUCUGCUAUCUAACCGUCCUUUGGACAAUCUAUUGACU